rnacentral:rRNA from 1 species
AUGGAUCUUGGUGAAACCACAGGAAAAUUUUUAUUUUCUGCAACGUUCCCCAACAACAUUUUGCAGCAUGGGGAGCAGCUAAGGAGACAUCAACACUCAUUAUCAGAACUGACUUAUGUAAGAGAUGACGGCACAAAACUUGAAACCACAAAGACUUCACGUCCACUGUACGUCGUUCGCUCGGUUGCCACCAUGGGAAAGGGGUUAGUUAGGGUUUGUUGUCAGGGUCCAUUCCUCCUUCGGAUUGGCCGUCCUUCCUCUUUCAGGUAUAUAUCUGGACCAUCCACUCGGUUUGCUAAUUUAUAA